UACAGAGGUCUCAAGCGUUGUUCGGAUUCAUUGGGCGUAAAGGGUGCGUAGGUGGCGCCGUAAGUCAGGUGUGAAAUUUCGGAGCUUAACUUCGAAACUGCAUUUGAUACUGCGGUGCUUGAGGACUGGAGAGGAGACUGGAAUUCAUGGUGUAGCAGUGAAAUGCGUAGAGAUCAUGAGGAAGACCAGUGGCGAAGGCGGGUCUCUGGACAGUUCCUGACACUGAGGCACGAAGGCCAGGGGAGCAAACGGG
rnacentral:rRNA from 1 species